AUUGAACGCUGGCGGCAAGCCUAACACAUGCAAGUCGAACGGUAACAGGCCCUUCGGGUGCUGACGAGUGGCGGAUGGGUGAGUAAUACUUAGGAAUCUACCCUGUAGUGGGGGACAACCCGGGGAAACUCGGGCUAAUACCGCAUACGCUCUACGGAGGAAAGCGGGGGACCGCAAGGCCUCGCGCUAUUGGAUGAGCCUAAGCCCGAUUAGCUAGUUGGUGGGGUAAUAGCCUACCAAGGCAAUGAUCGGUAGCUGGUCUGAGAGGACGACCAGCCACACUGGGACUGAGACACGGCCCAGACUCCUACGGGAGGCAGCAGUGGGGAAUAUUGGACAAUGGGCGAAAGCCUGAUCCAGCGAUGCCGCGUGUGUGAAGAAGGCCUGCGGGUUGUAAAGCCCUGUCGAGGGGGACGAAACGGUGCCGACCUAACACGUCGGUGCCCUGACGGUACCCUAAAGGAGCACCGGCUAACUCCGUGCCAG
rnacentral:rRNA from 1 species